rnacentral:tRNA from 1 species
GUAUUGGUGGUUUAGUAAUAGAAUCCACACUUUCCAUGUGGGAGACCUGGGUUCAAAACCUGACCAAUACA